rnacentral:rRNA from 1 species
GCAGCCGCCACGGGAAUACGUAGGUGGCAAGCGUUGCCCGGAAUUAUUGGGCGUAAAGGGCUCGCAGGCGGUUUCUUAAGUCUGAUGUAAAAGCCCCCGGCUCAACCGGGGAGGGUCAUUGGAAACUGGGAAACUUGAGUGCAGAAGAGGAGAGUGGAAUUCCACGUGUAGCGGUGAAAUGCGUAGAGAUGUGGAGGAACACCAGUGGCGAAGGCGACUCUCUGGUCUGUAACUGACGCUGAGGAGCGAAAGCGUGGGGAGCGAACAGGAUUAGAUACCCCCGUAGUCCCUGUCUCUUAUAC